CUCAAAUCGAGAUUGAGGACAGAGGUGAGAAGGAAGCCUCUGACUCAGUGGCCAGGUAAUAGCUUAUUUAGUCAUAAGUAGCAAUAAACAAAUAAAUGGUAAAAUGAGAUCGCAUUCAUUCACACACACACUUCAUUAACCUUCGGUCAGUCCCAAUGUUGUACCCUGGAUCAAUGGUGGUGUCAGAUAGGGUUUGCUAUGUGUCCUUCUGCUGGUUCUGUCCUUCAGCUGGAGCUUGGUCAGAGGUGCAGGCUUGUCUCAAUUGAUGGCAAUCAUCUGGAUCAGCAAACUCGAUCUCUCGGCACAAUGGCAUCCCCGUGGGACUCCAAGAAUCAGAGACUUCCAGGAUGACAGACCAACUGACCAACCAGCGGCAGGAAGGGGAAAUCGGAUCUCACUGUUGAACAAAGCUGUUCUUUUAAACAUGAAAAGAAGUGAUUAUGAAGGUAUUCAUUGUCCCCUUUAGGGACAGAACUUAACUGCUGAGGGGUACAGAAGUU
rnacentral:lncRNA from 1 species